UACGUAGGGUGCAAGCGUUAAUCGGAAUUACUGGGCGUAAAGGGCGCGUAGGCGGCCUUCUAAGUCAGACGUGAAAUCCCCCGGCUUAACCUGGGAACUGCGUCUGAUACUGGGAGGCUUGAGUGCGGGAGAGGGAUGCGGAAUUCCAGGUGUAGCGGUGAAAUGCGUAGAUAUCUGGAGGAACACCGGUGGCGAAGGCGGCAUCCUGGACCGACACUGACGCUGAGGCGCGAAAGCUAGGGUAGCAAACGGG
rnacentral:rRNA from 1 species